rnacentral:rRNA from 1 species
CCCCUAGAUGUUCUGGGCCGCACGCGCGCUACACUGAACAGUUCAACAAGUCUUAACCUUGGCCGAUAGGUCUGGGUAAUCUUUGAACGCUGUUCGUGAUUGGGAUAGACCUUUGCAAUUAUGGGUCUUCAACGAGGAAUUCCUAGUAAACGCAAGUCAUCAGCUUGCAUUGAUUACGUCCCUGCCCUUUGUACACACCGCCCGUCGCACCUACCGAUUGAAUGGUCCGGUGAAGCCUCCGGAUUGGCGCGCACCUCGGUGCCGCCGAGAAGUUGGCUAAACCUUACCAUUUAGAGGAAGGUGAAGUCGUAACA